rnacentral:rRNA from 1 species
GAUGAACGCUGGCGGCGUGCCUAAUACAUGCAAGUCGAACGCUUCACUUCGGUGAAGAGUGGCGAACGGGUGAGUAAUACAUAAGUAACCUGGCAUCUACAGGGGGAUAACUGAUGGAAACGUCAGCUAAGACCGCAUAGGUGUAGAGAUCGCAUGAACUCUAUAUGAAAAGUGCUACGGGACUGGUAGAUGAUGGACUUAUGGCGCAUUAGCUUGUUGGUAGGGUAACGGCCUACCAAGGCGACGAUGCGUAGCCGACCUGAGAGGGUGACCGGCCACACUGGGACUGAGACACGGCCCAGACUCCUACGGGAGGCAGCAGUAGGGAAUUUUCGGCAAUGGGGGAAACCCUGACCGAGCAACGCCGCGUGAAGGAAGAAGUAAUUCGUUAUGUAAACUUCUGUCAUAGAGGAAGAACGGUGGAUAUAGGGAAUGAUAUCCAAGUGACGGUACUCUAUAAGAAAGCCACGGCUAACUAC